UGCGUAGGCGGUUUUAUAAGCCAGAUGUGAAAUCCCCGGGCUUAACCUGGGAACUGCAUUUGGAACUGUAAGACUAGAGUACGGCAGAGGGGGGUAGGAAUUCCACGUGUAGCAGUGAAAUGCGUAGAUAUGUGGAGGAAUACCGAUGGCGAAGGCAGCCCCCUGGGUCGAUACUGACGCUCAUGCACGAAAGCGUGGGGAGCAAACA
rnacentral:rRNA from 1 species